ensembl:lncRNA
CUGAUGAUUCUUUUGGCAGGCUUGAAACCUGUCCUCAUAGCUCUUUAUGAAGCUGGAAAGCACAGCUGCGUAUUCUUUGCUGUUCAGAGCCCCGUGUUUAGCCAACGCAUCGAUGUGCACACGGGGAUGUGCCAUCACUUGAGUCAGCACUGCGCUCCCCAUGCCCCGGCUCCAGCCAACACAGCACUAAUGGCGCACUGACGGCCCGGCUGAGAUGGGCUGUGCCUGGGUCUGCUCCAUGGGGAACAGCCGCCAUCCUUGUAGCACGGGGCAGGGGGCUUGGUGGUCUUUUCUGACCUUAGUGGUUCCAUGAUUUUCAUUGAAAGCCGCUCUUCCUUAUCCUGUCACUACCUGACCUUGUAAGAGGUAUGCCUCCCUCCUGCUUGUAAGCUCCCCUCAAGUACCAGAAGGCCGCAAUGAGGUCUCCCCAGAUCCUUCUCUUCUCCAGGCUGAACCAACCCAGCACCCUCCUUUAAAAUGCCUUUAAGUACUCGUGGCGUUAAUGCCAUGAAUACACAGGUAGCAGCAAAGUUAGUUAUAACCAAAUAACGCUGUGUGCUUUAUUCUCAUUCCGAUUGUCUAGGUAUGGAUCGCAAUGAAAGGUCCACAUACGGACUCACCAGCACCAAAUUCCUUUCAACAUGCUGCAGAUUCUGAAUGAGAGUCAGAAUCAUAAAAUGGUUUGGGUUGGAUGGGACCUUUGAGAUCAUUUCAUUCCAACCCCCUGCUAUAUGCAGGAACACCUCCCUCUAGACCAGGUUGCUCACAGCCCCACCCAGCCUGGCUUUGAAUGCUUCCAGGGAAAGCACAUCCACAGCCUCUCCUGGCAACCUGUGCCAGUGUCUCACCACCCUCACAGUAAGGAAUUUCUUCCUAAUAUCUAGUCUAAAGAGAGAAGUUAUUCCCUGCCUGGGGCUUCUGUCUUUUCUAAUUUUAGCUGAUCCUCAGAAUGAAAAAUAACAAAGCAGGAGAUAGCGGGGCCAGCUGGUUGCUGAGUGCACGUUGGUACUUCUCAGAGGGCUGAAACUCAUCCUCCCUUGGCCACCUCUGCCAGCGCCAGGUUUUGUUGUGAACCCGUGCAGAAAACAGGAGAGCAUCUGUCUCAAGCUUGGCACUCCAGCACUGCGAGCUCGGCUGCUCGCCCCAUGAUGCUCACAGAGUUAUCUGUCUCCACUGCUCCACUUCUCUGACCCUUUAUCUCUGUAACUGGAGCAGCCAGCGGCAAUGGGAAUUGUGUAACCAUCUCCCCAC